UGCUAUUGCUAGGGGACUGUGGGAGAAAGACUGUGAGUAGAAAAAGAAUGAGAGGAAGAGAAAGAGAAUAGAUCUGAGUCACUACAGUAUCACUCCAUUUUUACUCGAGGGGAGUUACACAGGCAGAGCAGUGAAUCCAGUACAAUACAAAUUGUAAGCUGGCGGGGCCGUCCCUCUGCGUCCGUGUCUGCGGGAUGUCAUGUCUCCUCACAAUUUAGCGUCCCGGGCGUGGCCCUCCUGGCUCCUCCCACCAGGCGACUCGCGGUGUUCCCUCUGCGUCUGCAUCUGAGGGAGGCCACACCUUCUCACUACAAAGUACGAGAACUUUGGGCCAUCUGAUUGUGUUGUGACAACUCUAAGUGAUAAAAGGCACCGGAAUAAUUUCUUCAGCAGUGAAGAGAAACACAGAAUGGAAAUUAUGGAUCUGUAAUGUUUCAGAAGGCGCAAAGCUAGAGAAUACAUGUGGGAAUUUCUGCUUCUUGAAAGAAGGGUUGUGGGGGGUGUUUGUUUGUUUUCUUUUUUUUUUUAAUGAAUUGACCCUGAUAACUAAU